AGAUUAUGUCACAUAUAAUAUCAUUACAAUCAGGACCAGGAAAAUAAAUAUAUUUCUAAAUUUUUCGUAGUAAUAAACUGGAAGGCAAAAAAAAAAUAGUAUAUAUAUAAAAAUUAAACUAGAGAACUUACAACUUCUGAGACAAUCAUUAUCAAGUAUACAUAGACUGUCAGUUUUCUGAAAUAAAAUAAACCUAUUCAGUUAUUUUUAAAAAAGUAAUGAGAAGCCAAAUUGAAUUAAAAUAAAAAUAAAAAUUUUGAAAUCAAAUCAGAGACGAAAGAAAUCAUUAUGAGAGAAAUAGAGUUUUUUUGUUGCAAAUAAAAUUUUUACGGAGAGAU
rnacentral:lncRNA from 1 species